rnacentral:rRNA from 1 species
GUGGGGAAUAUUGGACAAUGGGCGAAAGCCUGAUCCAGCCAUGCCGCGUGAGUGAAGAAGGCCUUAGGGUUGUAAAGCUCUUUCGACGGGGACGAUGAUGACGGUACCCGUAGAAGAAGCCCCGGCUAACUUCGUGCCAGCAGCCGCGGUAAUACGAAGGGGGCAAGCGUUGUUCGGAUUUACUGGGCGUAAAGGGCGCGUAGGCGGAUAGACAAGUCAGAGGUGAAAGCCCUGGGCUCAACCCGGGAACUGCCUUUGAAACUGUUUGUCUUGAGUAUGGGAGAGGAUGGCGGAAUACCCAGUGUAGAGGUGAAAUUCGUAGAUAUUGGGUAGAACACCAGUGGCGAAGGCGGCCAUCUGGCCCAUAACUGACGCUGAGGCGCGAAAGCGUGGGGAGCAAACAGGAUUAGAAACCCCUGUAGUCC